GAAGAAAGACAAGGAGGAACAUAGAAUGAAAAGCAGAUUAAAAUGAAGGGUACGUGCUGAAGGCUGGUUGGUCCACACGAUCAGACCCAGCUGGAUGUCUUAUACCUCCUCUUCUUUGUCAGUAGACUCCUGAAUUAUUAAGUUCAAUAAGAAAGGAAAGGGAUGGAAAGGAUUCGGAGUGUCUUAUUUCAGGUGUAAACCUUUAUGAUGUCUUCGUAUAUUCCUGUACCGCGUGCAAGCAUUGGAGGUUUGUGGCUGGAAAUCCUUCAAAGGUGACAAUGUACAGAAGAGUUGAUAUGAAUCAAGACUGGAUGAAUGAAG
rnacentral:lncRNA from 1 species